AUUGAACGCUGGCGGCAGGCCUAACACAUGCAAGUCGAACGAGUGGCGGACGGGUGAGUAAUGUCUGGGAAACUGCAUGAUGGAGGGGGAUAACUACUGGAAACGGUAGCUAAUACCGCAUACCAUCGGAUGUGCCCAGAUGGGAUUAGCUAGUAGGUGGGGUAAAGGCUCACCUAGGCGACGGUCCCUAGCGGGUCUGAGAGGAUGACCAGCAACACUGGAACUGAGACACGGUACAGAAUCCUACGGGAGGCAGCAGUGGGGAGUAUUGCACAAUGGGCGCAAGCCUGAUGCAGCCAUGCCGCGUGUAUGAAGAAGGCCUUCGGGUUGUAAAGUACUUUCAGCGGGGAGGCGUUACACGCAGAAGAAGCACCGGCUAACUCCGUGCCAGCAGCCGCGGUAAUAC
rnacentral:rRNA from 1 species